GGAACUUCCUAAUAUGGUCAGAUGUCUCAUGUUCCCGCUUCCGGUUGCAGGUAGUUUUAUCUCUAGUUGCUGGGCUGAUGUUUGGCAUUGCAGCAUUGUUGGUGCUUAUCAGAUGUCAAAGAAUGACAAAAAUAUCUGGGUUACACUCGUUUGUUCUUGAGGAUUGGUGUGAAAGUGCUGCAGAAUUCACAAAAGAAGAAAAGAUGACAGCAUUCAGAAACUGUACUUGCAGAUCCUAAGGAGACACUGAAAUAGUUUCAUUAUAAAUUUUAUACGAGAUGUAUGAAAAUGACAAUAAAAUUCAAUUUGGGGUCAUGUGGAAGUACCUUCAUAACUGAAGAUGAACAAAUUAAAGUAUAUCAAUUAUAAUGUAUUGCCUUUUUUUGUUUCAAAUACAUCAUUAAUACAGCAUAAUGUGUCACAGACUGAGAUGUAUUUAAUUCAACCUAUAGAGGGCCCCAAAAUC